AGCAGUAGCCACGGUAAUACAGAGGGUGCGAGCGUUAAUCGGAUUUACUGGGCGUAAAGCGUGCGUAGGCGGCUUUUUAAGUCGGAUGUGAAAUCCCUGAGCUUAACUUAGGAAUUGCAUUCGAUACUGGGAAGCUAGAGUAUGGGAGAGGAUGGUAGAAUUCCAGGUGUAGCGGUGAAAUGCGUAGAGAUCUGGAGGAAUACCGAUGGCGAAGGCAGCCAUCUGGCCUAAUACUGACGCUGAGGUACGAAAGCAUGGGGAGCAAACAGGAUUAGAUACCCGAGUAGUCCCUGUCUCUUAUAC
rnacentral:rRNA from 1 species